CGAACGCUGGCGGCAUGCCUAACACAUGCAAGUCGACCGAGACCUUCGGGUCUAGUGGCGCACGGGUGCGUAACGCGUGGGAACCUGCCUUUAGGUUCGGAAUAACUCAGAGAAAUUUGAGCUAAUACCGGAUGAUGUCUUCGGACCAAAGAUUUAUCGCCUUUAGAUGGGCCCGCGUUGGAUUAGCUAGUUGGUGGGGUAAAGGCCUACCAAGGCGACGAUCCAUAGCUGGUCUGAGAGGAUGAUCAGCCACACUGGGACUGAGACACGGCCCAGACUCCUACGGGAGGCAGCAGUGGGGAAUAUUGGACAAUGGGCGAAAGCCUGAUCCAGCAAUGCCGCGUGAGUGAUGAAGGCCUUAGGGUUGUAAAGCUCUUUUACCCGAGAUGAUAAUGACAGUAUCGGGAGAAUAAGCUCCGGCUAACUCCGUG
rnacentral:rRNA from 1 species